CUCCUCCCACCUCCCAGGCUCCUCCCACCUCCCCUUCGCGGGACCACAUCAGUCGGUGCCGCUACUGACGAUGACGACACCAGGAGACUCGGUGACUUGUCCAGAGUGUAGCAUGGCCAGAUGACAGCUAAUGUAGGCUCCAGGAUCCAGCGUGCACCCCCGCCAAAGUGCUGAUUUGGUCCUAAUAUCGGUGAAGAUGUAAACCAUACCCAUCUCAGGAAAUGGCGAGAGUCACACGCCCCAACAUGUGCCCGGAAAAGGCUCUCUAAAA